AUUGAACGCUGGCGGCAGGCCUAACACAUGCAAGUCGAGCGGAUGAAGGGAGCUUGCUCCUGGAUUCAGCGGCGGACGGGUGAGUAAUGCCUAGGAAUCUGCCUGGUAGUGGGGGAUAACGUCCGGAAACGGGCGCUAAUACCGCAUACGUCCUGAGGGAGAAAGUGGGGGAUCUUCGGACCUCACGCUAUCAGAUGAGCCUAGGUCGGAUUAGCUAGUUGGUGGGGUAAAGGCCUACCAAGGCGACGAUCCGUAACUGGUCUGAGAGGAUGAUCAGUCACACUGGAACUGAGACACGGUCCAGACUCCUACGGGAGGCAGCAGUGGGGAAUAUUGGACAAUGGGCGAAAGCCUGAUCCAGCCAUGCCGCGUGUGUGAAGAAGGUCUUCGGAUUGUAAAGCACUUUAAGUUGGGAGGAAGGGCAGUAAGUUAAUACCUUGCUGUUUUGACGUUACCAACAUAAUAAGCACCGGCUAACUUCGUG
rnacentral:rRNA from 1 species